CCUACGGGAGGCAGCAGUGGGGAAUAUUGCACAAUGGGCGCAAGCCUGAUGCAGCGACGCCGCGUGAGGGAUGACGGCCUUCGGGUUGUAAACCUCUUUCAGCAGGGGAGAAGGCCUUCGGGUUGACGGUACCUGCAGAAGAAGCGCCGGCUAACUACGUGCCAGCAGCCGCGGUAAUACGUAGGGCGCAAGCGUUGUCCGGAAUUAUUGGGCGUAAAGAGCUCGUAGGCGGUUUGUCGCGUCUGCUGUGAAAACGCGAGGCUCAACCUCGCGCCUGCAGUGGGUACGGGCAGACUAGAGUGCGGUAGGGGAGACUGGAAUUCCUGGUGUAGCGGUGGAAUGCGCAGAUAUCAGGAGGAACACCGGUGGCGAAGGCGGGUCUCUGGGCCGUUACUGACGCUGAGGAGCGAAAGCAUGGGGAGCGAACAGGAUUAGAUACCCUGGUAGUCCAUGCCGUAAACGUUGGGCACUAGGUGUGGGACCCAUUCCACGGGUUCCGUGCCGCAGCUAACGCAUUAAGUGCCCCGCCUGGGGAGUACGGCCGCAAGGCUAAAACUCAAAGGAAUUGACGGGGGCCCGCACAAGCGGCGGAGCAUGCGGAUUAAUUCGAUGCAACGCGAAGAACCUUACCAAGGCUUGACAUACACCGGAAACGUCCAGAGAUGGGCGCCCCGCAAGGUCGGUGUACAGGUGGUGCAUGGUUGUCGUCAGCUCGUGUCGUGAGAUGUUGGGUUAAGUCCCGCAACGAGCGCAACCCUUGUCCUGUGUUGCCAGCGGGUUAUGCCGGGGACUCAUGGGAGACUGCCGGGGUCAACUCGGAGGAAGGUGGGGACGACGUCAAAUCAUCAUGCCCCUUAUGUCUUGGGCUUCACGCAUGCUACAAUGGCCGGUACAAAGGGCUGCGAUGCCGUAAGGUGGAGCGAAUCCCAAAAAGCCGGUCUCAGUUCGGAUUGGGGUCUGCAACUCGACCCCAUGAAGUCGGAGUCGCUAGUAAUCGCAGAUCAGCAACGCUGCGGUGAAUACGUUCUCGGGCCUUGUACACACCGCCCGUCACGUCACGAAAGUCGGUAACACC
rnacentral:rRNA from 1 species